rnacentral:tmRNA from 1 species
GGGGGCGUAAAGGUUUCGACAGGGAUUUUGAACUAUGGGAAGCGAGCAGCGGUGCGGAACCGCUUUAAAAUCCGCAAUAAAAAUUAACUAACAACAAUAAAGUUGCUUUAGCAGCCUAAUUACAGGCUGCUCAUCCGACCUCUGAGCACCACGGCAGAGCAAGGGUGUCAUUUUAGUGGUGAACGUGAAUACGGAAACGUCCCUUUUCGUAUCACGCAGUAGGGACUACCAAGCACCGAAGUUUGACAUUUAACGUCGGUGUGAGGGAAAGUAAAUAAAUGUCUGCGCUCGGAGAUGCCUAUAGGAAUAGAUUUUUGGACGCGGGUUCGAUUCCCGCCGCCUCCACCA